rnacentral:rRNA from 1 species
GAUGAACGCUAGCUACAGGCUUAACACAUGCAAGUCGAGGGGCAGCAUGGUCUUAGCUUGCUAAGGCUGAUGGCGACCGGCGCACGGGUGAGUAACACGUAUCCAACCUGCCGUCUACUCUUGGCCAGCCUUCUGAAAGGAAGAUUAAUCCAGGAUGGCAUCAUGAGUUCACAUGUCCGCAUGAUUAAAGGUAUUUUCCGGUAGACGAUGGGGAUGCGUUCCAUUAGAUAGUAGGCGGGGUAACGGCCCACCUAGUCAACGAUGGAUAGGGGUUCUGUGAGGAAGGUCCCCCACAUUGGAACUGAGACACGGUCCAAACUCCUACGGGAGGCAGCAGUGAGGAAUAUUGGUCAAUGGGCGAUGGCCUGAACCAGCCAAGUAGCGUGAAGGAUGACUGCCCUAUGGGUUGUAAACUUCUUUUAUAAAGGAAUAAAGUCGGGUAUGCAUACCCGUUUGCAUGUACUUUAUGAAUAAGGAUCGGCUAACUCCGUG